rnacentral:rRNA from 1 species
UAACACCUGGGAAACAGAUAGCUAAUACCGGAUAACAACAGAUGAUGCCUAUCAAACUGUUUAAAAGAUGGUUCUGCUAUCACUCUUGGAUGGACCUGCGGUGCAUUAGCUAGUUGGUAGGGUAACGGGCCUACCAAGGCGAUGAUGCAUAGCCCGAGUUGAGAGACUGAUCGGGCCACAUUGGGGACUGAGACACGGGCCCAAACUCCUACGGGAGGCAGCAGUAGGGAAUCUUCCACAAUGGACGCAAGUCUGAUGGAGCAAACGCCGCGUGAGUGAAGAAGGGUUUCGGCUCGUAAAAAGCUCUGUUGUUGGUGAAGAAGGAUAGAGGUAGUAACUGGCCCUUUAUUUGACGGUAAUCAACCCAGAAAGUCACGGGCUAACUACGUGCCCAGCAGCCGCGGUAAAU